CAAAGAUUAACAUAUUUAUGUAUCUCAUUUACAUUGAGAAAAUAAUUAAUUUAAAAUUAAUUAUCUUUGA
rnacentral:tRNA from 1 species